rnacentral:misc_RNA from 1 species
GGGUUUUUUAUUUUAUACUUCAAUCCUUGAAUUUAUUUUUUAUGUUUUUUAAAUGUUCAUUUUUUUGAAUGUUUGAUUUAAAAAAAUAUAAAAAAUAAAAUAGAUAUUGACAUGGAUUAAACAAAGAUAUAUAUUAUUCUAUGUUGCAUAAACAAAUUGGCAAAGUAG